rnacentral:tmRNA from 13 species
UAAAUGGACCCAGAGGCAGUUUUUGGUAUUUCCAUAUAAAUUAAAUGACUGGGGAUAAUAAUAGAAUUGACAUUUA